rnacentral:rRNA from 1 species
UACGAAGGGGGCUAGCGUUGCUCGGAAUCACUGGGCGUAAAGGGUGCGUAGGCGGGUCUUUAAGUCAGGGGUGAAAUCCUGGAGCUCAACUCCAGAACUGCCUUUGAUACUGAAGACCUUGAGUUCGGGAGAGGUGAGUGGAACUGCGAGUGUAGAGGUGAAAUUCGUAGAUAUUAGGAAGAACACCAGUGGCGAAGGCGGCUCACUGGUCCGGUACUGACGCUGAGGUGCGAAAGCGUGGGGAGCAAACAGG